rnacentral:rRNA from 1 species
UAGGGAAUCUUCCACAAUGGACGCAAGUCUGAUGGAGCAACGGCCGCGUGAGUGAAGAAGGUUUUCGGACCGUAAAGCUCUGUUGUUGGUGAAGAAGGAUAGAGGUAGUAACUGGCCUUUAUUUGACGGUAAUCAACCAGAAAGUCACGGCUAACUACGUGCCAGCAGCCGCGGUAAUACGUAGGUGGCAAGCGUUGUCCGGAUUUAUUGGGCGUAAAGCGAGCGCAGGCGGAAGAAUAAGUCUGAUGUGAAAGCCCUCGGCUUAACCGAGGAAUCGCAUCGGAAACUGUUUUCUUGAGUGCAGAAGAGGAGAGUAGAACUCCAUGUGUAGCGGUGGAAUGCGUAGAUAUAUGGAAGAAUACCAGUGGCGAAGGCGGCUCUCUGGUCUGCAACUGACGCUGAGGCUCGAAAGCAUGGGUAGCGAACAGGAUUAGAUACCCUGGUAGUCCAUGCCGUAAACGAUGAGUGCUAAGUGUUGGGAGGCUUCCGCCUCUCAGUGCUGCAGCUAACGCAUUAAGCACUCCGCCUGGGGGAGUACGACCGCAAGGUUGAAAC